GUGGUGAUCAGCAUGCGGGCUGUGCUGCCAAGCGUGAGUGGCAGCGUGAGUGGCAGCGUGAGUGGCAGCGUGAGUGGCAGCGUGAGUGGCAGCGAGCUUCUGUCGCCACAAGAUUGAUCAACAGUGCCAUUGAUCAAUCAUCAAAACAACAAUCAACAAUCAACAGCAUUGAUCUCUUGCUUGUUUUGAUUGCUUGUAUCUGUCACUUGUAGCAAUCCUAAUGCAUGUAAGUCUGUGCCAAUCAUCAUGCAUUAUCCAUAUUGAUCGUAAUGCACAUAUAUCUUGGCCUAUCAUCAUGCAUUGCUAUAUUGAUUGUAAAUUGCAAUUUAUGGAGACACCUGCUACAGUGUCCUCAAUAUAUGUUGUGCCAAACUUUACAGUCUUUAUCAAUGUAUGAGCUUUAAUAAUAUAGCUAUAAGAUAAUUUAUACAUUUUUAUUUCAAAUUGAGAAGUUGUUUAUUUAUAUAAGUUGAUUAAAUACUCUUUUUUUUCAGAAUUGUAAUGGAUAGGAGUUUGACAACAAUAUCUGGGGGUGUGGGCGUCCUAAUUUAAUCAAACUACCAGGCUACAUUACAUUCGAAUGCCACGUAACUUAAAGUAUAUUUUUUCAAUUGAAAUCGUUGUAAACCACUGGAAUAUUUAAGUUGGCCACGAAAUAUCUUAAAUUUAAGCUCUAAGUACCUUAUUGCGAAACCCAAUUCACUCAAUUAAUACUUGCAAUAAUUUACCAUUAAUGUUCUAAUUAUGAUGGCUCUUAUGGCCAGGACAGCAUUGUCUGGCAGGCUUUGGCUCACAAGUCUGCAUCCAAGUUAUCAUCUUCUGCUCUUUUCUGGGGUUCUGUUGAUUUUGUCAUCAUUGCUGUACUCAUGACUGGUCUUGAGAUAGAGAGCGGACGAAUGUUAGCGUUCAGAGGAAGGUAAACUGCUGGAUGGAUCCUGAUGCCAGGAAGAAAAUGAUGAACAUGGUUAAUAGGCUCCCCUCAGGCGCUGAAGAAGAGCUGGUCCAGGCUCC